GGGGGUGGUGCUGGUUGCCGGACUAAACCUGAGAAAUUUGAUCUGGGAGUUCGAUUCUCCUCACCUCCA
rnacentral:tRNA from 1 species